GAGCUGGACUUUGUUCGCAUGAAGCAGAGGCUAAAGCUACGGAAAUCUUCCAAUGAUGCCAUAAAGUCUAAGUUACUUUUCGUUAUUCGCAUACAUGGAUCAAAGGAUAUGCAUCCCCGGACAAGACAAAUCUUAAAUAAGUUGCGGUUGAGACAUAUCUUAAGUGGUGUAUUUCUGAAAGCCAAUGAAGCAAAUUUGAGAAUGCUUCUGACCGUAGAACCGUUCAUUACUUAUGGUUAUCCUACUUUGAAAAGUGUGAGGGAGCUUGUUUACAAGAAGGGCUGUGGAAAUAUAGAAAAGGAGAGGACUCCUCUUACUGACAACAACGUCAUUGAGCAGGCACUUGGGAAGUAUGGUAUCAUCUGUCUUGAAGAUGUCGUGCAUGAGAUCGCCACAGUGGGAUCACAUUUCAAGGAGGUUACCAGCUUCCUGUGGCCAUUCAAGCUUAAAUGCCCAGAACGCAGAUUACAGAUGAAGAAAAAGCUCUACAAGGAGGGUGGCGAUGCAGGCAACCGUGAAGAUCACAUCAAUGAGCUCAUUGAUAAGCUGAACUAAGAGGGAUGAGCUUGUGGUGGUCCAUGUCAAGCAUGGAUGACAUCAAUUAAACUAGUUUUGCCAGACUUUUUAGCUUUUUAUGGCUUGGAAAAGUAUUUAGUGGAAAUCAGUAAUGUUGUAUUCCCUGGCAUCUUUUUGUUUUCUUCUUUUAACAUCAAAAUCAUAAUCGUCUUGUCUUUUUGACUCUUUUAACA